AGCGAACGCUGGCGGCAGGCCUAACACAUGCAAGUCGAACGAACUCUUCGGAGUUAGUGGCGGACGGGUGAGUAACACGUGGGAACGUGCCUUUUGGUUCGGAAUAACUCAGGUAAACUUGUGCUAAUAUCGAAUGUGCUCUUCGGGGGAAAGAUUUAACGCCAUUGGAGCGGCCCGCGUCUGUUUGGCUAGUUGGUGAGGUAACGGCUCAUCAAGGCGACGAUCAGUAGCUGGUCUGAGACGAUGACCAGACACACUGGGACUGGGACACGGCCCAGACUCCUACGGGAGGCAGCAGUGGGUAAUCUUGCGCAAUGGGCGAAAGCCUGACGCAGCCAUGCCGCGAGAAUGAUGAAGGUCUUAGAAUUGUAAAAUUCUUUCACCGGGGACGAUAAUGACGGUACCCGGAGAAGAAGCCCCGGCUAACUUCGUG
rnacentral:rRNA from 1 species